CCCUUAGAUGUUCUGGGCUGCACGCGCGCUACAAUGUCAUGAAAACCGGGAUGCUUUAACGAAAUUUAUUGCGAAACCCCAACUCAUGACGCGACUGGGAUUGACGUUUUUAAUUAUUCGUCGUGAACGAGGAAUUCCUAGUAAACGCGAAUCAUCAGUUCGUGUUGAUUAUGUCCCUGCCCUUUGUACACACCGCCCGUCGCUCCUACCGAUUGAGCGUUUUGGUGAGCACUCUGGAGUGCAGCAAUGCAUAAAUGAAUGCAAACCUGAGCGUUUAGAGGAAGGAUAAGUCGUAACA
rnacentral:rRNA from 1 species